AGAAUCAACGCUGGCGGCGUGCCUAACACAUGCAAGUCGAACGCGAAGUGGAGCAAUCCAUUAGUAGAGUGGCAAACGGGUGAGUAACACGUGGGCGACCUACCUCAGAGUGGGGGAUAACCUUCCGAAAGGAGGGCUAAUACCGCAUGACAUCCCGUGUUUGGAUACACGGAGAUCAAAGCCGGGGACCGCAAGACCUGGCGCUUGGAGAGGGGCCCGCGUCCGAUUAGCUAGUUGGUGAGGUAACGGCUCACCAAGGCCUCCGAUCGGUAUCCGGCCUGAGACGGGCGGACGGACACGACUGGAACUGAGACACGGUCCAGACUCCUAACGGGAGGCAGCAGGUGGGAAUUGUCCGACAAUGGGCGCAAGGCCUGAGACGCAACGCCGACGUGGAGAUGAAGUAAUUUCGUCGUAAACUCCUUCGACCGAGUAUGACACCCG
rnacentral:rRNA from 1 species